ACCUGGGUGGCUCAGUAGGUUGAGCAUCUGGCUCUUGAUUUUGACUCAGGUCAUGAUCUCAGGGUUGUGGGAUCAAGCCCCACCUUGGGUU
rnacentral:tRNA from 1 species